GACGAACGCUGGCGGCGUGCCUAAUACAUGCAAGUAGAACGCUGAAGGAGGAGCUUGCUCUUCUGGAUGAGUUGCGAACGGGUGAGUAACGCGUAGGUAACCUGCCUGGUAGCGGGGGAUAACUAUUGGAAAUGAUAGCUAAUACCGCAUAAGAGUAGAUGUUGCAUGACAUUUACUUAAAAGGUGCAAUUGCAUCACUACCAGAUGGACCUGCGUUGUAUUAGCUAGUUGGUGGGGUAACGGCUUACCAAGGCGACGAUACAUAGCCGACCUGAGAGGGUGAUCGGCCACACUGGGACUGAGACACGGCCCAGACUCCUACGGGAGGCAGCAGUAGGGAAUCUUCGGCAAUGGACGGAAGUCUGACCGAGCAACGCCGCGUGAGGGAAGAAGGUUUUCGGAUCGUAAAGCUCUGUUGUAAGAGAAGAACGAGUGUGAGAGUGGAAAGUUCACACUGUGACGGUAUCUUACCAGAAAGGGACGGCUAACUACGUG
rnacentral:rRNA from 1 species